rnacentral:SRP_RNA from 1 species
GGCGGGCCUCCCCGCAUGGCUAGAGGAUGAACCUGGUCAGGUCCGGAAGGAAGCAGCCACAGUCUUUGAUGCCAGUGCCGGGGGUCGGGCUCGCCACCU